GGACUUGAUGACAACUUUAUGACACCCAGUCUUACGUGCUCAUUUGGGGUACCCUGGUGAUAGAUUAUUUGUCUGAUCC
rfam:Cajanus cajan CcLG05_167, whole genome shotgun sequence.